UGGCUCAGAGUGAACGCUGGCGGCAGGCCUAAUACAUGCAAGUCGAACGGCAGCACAGCAGAGCUUGCUCUGUGGGUGGCGAGUGGCGGACGGGUGAGGAAUACAUGGGAAUCUGCCCAGUCGUGGGGGAUAACGUAGGAAACUUACGCUAAUACCGCAUGCGCCCUUCGGGGGAAAGCCGGGGACCUUCGGGCCUGGCGCGAUUGGAUGAGCCCAUGUCGGAUUAGCUAGUUGGCGGGCAAUGGCCCACCAAGGCGACGAUCCGUAGCUGGUCUGAGAGGAUGAUCAGCCACACUAGAACUGAGACACGGUCCAGACUCCUACGGGAGGCAGCAGUAGGGAAUAUUGGACAAUGGGCGCAAGCCUGAUCCAGCCAUGCCGCGUGAGUGAAGAAGGCCCUCGGGUUGUAAAGCUCUUUUGUCCGGAAAGAAAAGCGCCGGGUUAAUACCCUAGUGUCCUGACGGUACCGGAAGAAUAAGCACCGGCUAACUUCGUG
rnacentral:rRNA from 1 species